UCCUCCUUAGCUCAGUCGGUAGAGCGCGCGGCUGUUAACCGCGUUGUCGUUGGUUCAAGUCCAACAGGGGGAGCCA
rnacentral:tRNA from 1 species